AGUGAGGCUCGGUUGGGCUGGGUUGAAGCUCUCCCACGCUCCUGCUGCAAGAGUCUGCACCCUUUGCCCGAGGGAGCAGUCAGUCUGGAAAGUCACAGGAACCAGAGAAUUCACUCCCACCCUGCCCCUCAAGAAGCAGCCGUCGGCCAGUGAUCUUUGAGAGAGGAGAGGAGACAGGUGGGGAGGCUACUGAAGGAACAGAGACCCUGGAAGAUAGAAUGACAACUCUGACAUGGUUCCUGCUCUGCUGGAGCCCGUGGCCCAGGAGGGAAUGGUGCUGAAGAUGGGGAGAUCCGAGUGGCCCUACUCCACCACCCCAAAUGGCAGCAACGGCUGUGAGCUCCAUUUCUAUGGAUGAUAAAAGUGAGGCACAGAUGAAUCAAUUAUCUGAGGAUCCCAGCUUGUCCAGUAUUUCGUGAAAGAACCGAACCCAAAAAGCAAAUCAUCCACCCAGCAGGCAGCUCCUGGGAAAGAGGCAGGUCUGCGGAGGGAGGUGAGGACUUCAUUCUAACUGUGAAAUGACUGCGUUCAGAAUUGGGAAUCCAGAGCUGGGAACGAGCUGCUGACCUGCUCCGGGCAUUUGUGGCCAUUCGCCUUGAGGGCCAGGACGCCUGCAUCAGAGCAGCUGGGCCUGACCCUGGGAGCGAGGCCUCCCUGGGUGAGACUGACAAGCCCCUCUGGCCAUCCUUGUGGGGUCCCUGAGCCUUCACUUUCCUGCCCUGUCUUGCUCUGAUGUUUACUGCUGUGUGGGCCUCAGUGGUUUUACCCAUAACACGGAAUGAAACAUUUUGUCUAGGUAAUGGAAAAGUUGCUUUGGGAAAUCAAGAUGGGAUCGUGGAGGUGAACAGGUGUGAGCUGGAAGGUGCUCACCAGGUGCUUGUGUGCUGUGCUCGGCUGAACCAGGGCCCACAGAUCUUGCAUGGAAAGAUAAUCCUGGAUCCUCUGACAGGUCCAG
rnacentral:lncRNA from 1 species